rnacentral:rRNA from 1 species
GGUUAAGUGACUAAGCGUACAUGGUGGAUGCCUUGGCAGUCAGAGGCGAUGAAGGACGUACUAACCUGCGAUAAGCCGUGAGCAGUCGGUAAGAGACAUUACGACUCACGGAUUUCCGAAUGGGGAAACCCACUUAGCAUAAGCUAGGUAUCGCUGCGUGAAUACAUAGCGUAGCGAGGCGAACCGGGAGAACUGAAACAUCUAAGUACCCCGAGGAAAAGAAAUCAACCGAGAUUCCCUCAGUAGCGGCGAGCGAACGGGGAUUAGCCCUUAAGCAUCUUGGAAGUUAGUGGAACGGUCCUGGAAAGGCCGGCGAUACAGGGUGAUAGCCCCGUACACGAAAACAACCUUGAUGUGAAAUCGAGUAGGGCGGGACACGUGACAUCCUGUCUGAAUAUGGGGGGACCAUCCUCCAAGGCUAAAUACUCCUGACUGACCGAUAGUGAACCAGUACCGUGAGGGAAAGGCGAAAAGAACCCCUGUGAGGGGAGUGAAAUAGAACCUGAAACCGUGUACGUACAAGCAGUGGGAGCCCUUCGGGGUGACUGCGUACCUUUUGUAUAAUGGGUCAGCGACUUACAUUUUGUAGCGAGGUUAACCGUAUAGGGGAGCCGUAGGGAAACCGAGUCUUAACUGGGCGUCUAGUUGCAAGGUGUAGACCCGAAACCGGGUGAUCUAGCCAUGGGCAGGUUGAAGGUUGAGUAACAUCAACUGGAGGACCGAACCCACUAACGUUGCAAAGUUAGGGGAUGACCUGUGGCUGGGGGUGAAAGGCCAAUCAAACUCGGAGAUAGCUGGUUCUCCCCGAAAGCUAUUUAGGUAGCGCCUCGGACGAAUACUACUGGGGGUAGAGCACUGUUUGGGCUAGGGGGUCAUCCCGACUUACCAACCCCAUGCAAACUCCGAAUACCAGUAAGUAAUAUCCGGGAGACACACGGCGGGUGCUAACGUCCGUCGUGAAGAGGGAAACAACCCAGACCGCCGGCUAAGGUCCCAAAGUUCUGGUUAAGUGGGAAACGAUGUGGGAAGGCUCAGACAGCUAGGAUGUUGGCUUAGAAGCAGCCAUCAUUUAAAGAAAGCGUAAUAGCUCACUAGUCGAGUCGGCCUGCGCGGAAGAUGUAACGGGGCUCAAACCAGGCACCGAAGCCGCGGAUUCACGCUAAGCGUGAGUGGUAGGGGAGCGUUCUGUAAGUCUGCGAAGGUGUGUCGAGAGGCAUGCUGGAGAUAUCAGAAGUGCGAAUGCUGACGUAAGUAACGAUAAAGGGGGUGAAAAGCCUCCUCGCCGGAAGACCAAGGGUUCCUGUCCAACGUUAAUCGGGGCAGGGUGAGUCGACCCCUAAGGCGAGGCCGAAAGGCGUAGUCGAUGGGAAGCAGGUUAAUAUUCCUGCACGACUUGUAAUUGCGAUGGGGGGACGGAGAAGGCUAGGUGGGCCAGGCGACGGUUGUCCUGGUGAAAGUGCGUAGGUGGUGUUUCUAGGCAAAUCCGGAGACACAACACUGAGACACGAGACGAACACACUACGGUGUGGAAGCCAUUGAUGCCCUGCUUCCAGGAAAAGCCUCUAAGCUUCAGAUUACAAGUCAUCGUACCCCAAACCGACACAGGUGGUCGGGUAGAGAAUACCAAGGCGCUUGAGAGAACUCGGGUGAAGGAACUAGGCAAAAUAGAACCGUAACUUCGGGAGAAGGUUCGCUCUUGACAGUGAAGUCCCUUGCGGAUGGAGCAGUUGGGAGUCGCAGUGACCAGAUGGCUGGGACUGUUUAUCAAAAACACAGCACUCUGCAAACACGAAAGUGGACGUAUAGGGUGUGACACCUGCCCGGUGCCGGAAGGUUAAUUGAUGGGGUUAGCGCAAGCGAAGCUCUUGAUCGAAGCCCCGGUAAACGGCGGCCGUAACUAUAACGGUCCUAAGGUAGCGAAAUUCCUUGUCGGGUAAGUUCCGACCUGCACGAAUGGUGUAACCAUGGCCAUGCUGUCUCCACCCGAGACUCAGUGAAAUCGAAUUCGCCGUGAAGAUGCGGUGUACCCGCGGCUAGACGGAAAGACCCCGUGAACCUUUACUACAGCUUGGCACUGAACAUUGAACCUACAUGUGUAGGAUAGGUGGGAGGCUUUGAAGGCGUGACGCCAGUUGCGCUGGAGCCGUCCUUGAAAUACCACCCUUGUAUGUUUGAUGUUCUAACGCAGGCCCAUGAAUCUGGGUCGCGGACAGUGCCUGGUGGGUAGUUUGACUGGGGCGGUCUCCUCCCAAAGAGUAACGGAGGAGCACGAAGGUUGGCUAAUCCUGGUCGGACAUCAGGAGGUUAGUGCAAUGGCAUAAGCCAGCUUAACUGCGAGACGGACAGGUCGAGCAGGUACGAAAGUAGGUCAUAGUGAUCCGGUGGUUCUGAAUGGAAGGGCCAUCGCUCAACGGAUAAAAGGUACUCCGGGGAUAACAGGCUGAUACCGCCCAAGAGUUCAUAUCGACGGCGGUGUUUGGCACCUCGAUGUCGGCUCAUCACAUCCUGGGGCUGAAGUCGGUCCCAAGGGUAUGGCUGUUCGCCAUUUAAAGUGGUACGCGAGCUGGGUUCAGAACGUCGUGAGACAGUUCGGUCCCUAUCUGCCGUGGGCGUUGGAUGAUUGAAGGGAGUUGCUCCUAGUACGAGAGGACCGGAGUGAACGAACCUCUGGUGUUCGGGUUGUCACGCCAGUGGCACUGCCCGGUAGCUAAGUUCGGAAUCGAUAACCGCUGAAAGCAUCUAAGCGGGAAGCGAGCCCUGAGAUGAGUCAUCCCUGACCCCUUGAGGGUCCUAAAGGGCCGUUGGAGACCACAACGUUGAUAGGUGGGGUGUGUAAGCGCGGCGACGUGUUGAGCUAACCCAUACUAAUUACCCGUGAGGCUUAACCAU